CGGGGUCACACACAUUAGAGGUUCCUAUCUGAUCUGAUGGCUGAUGAAGAGUCCUAAUGCUCAUGGACUAUGAGUCCUACAUGUCUGAAACUCUGUGAUUGAGAAUCAGGAUUCUCUGAUCAUGAGUCCCACACAUUUUGGGUACUGGGGUCAAGAGUCCUACUGGUUUGGGACUUUUCGAUCAAGAUUUCAUAUCGAUGGACUUUGAUACCCGAUUGCCCAUC
rnacentral:lncRNA from 1 species